AGCGAGACUAGAGUCACAUCCUGACAUUAUCUAUUGUCCUGGUGUGCUAGAGUCCUCGCAGAGUAACUUCUCUGCUUAUUCAUUGGCUGCUGCUUUCCAUUGCUCAGCCAAUCACCAGCUCAGAAACAACU
ensembl:snoRNA